rnacentral:rRNA from 1 species
GAUGAACGCUGGCGGCGUGCCUAAUACAUGCGAGUCGAGCGAACGGACGAGAAGCUUGCUUCUCUGAUGUUAGCGGCGGACGGGUGAGUAACACGUGGAUAACCUACCUAUAAGACUGGGAUAACUUCGGGAAACCGGAGCUAAUACCGGAUAAUAUUUUGAACCGCAUGGUUCAAAAGUGAAAGACGGUCUUGCUGUCACUUAUAGAUGGAUCCGCGCUGCAUUAGCUAGUUGGUAAGGUAACGGCUUACCAAGGCAACGAUGCAUAGCCGACCUGAGAGGGUGAUCGGCCACACUGGAACUGAGACACGGUCCAGACUCCUACGGGAGGCAGCAGUAGGGAAUCUUCCGCAAUGGGCGAAAGACUGACGGAGCAACGCCGCGUGAGUGAUGAAGGUCUUCGGAUCGUAAAACUCUGUUAUUAGGGAAGAACAUAUGUGUAAGUAACUGUGCACAUCUUGACGGUACCUAAUCAGAAAGCCACGGCUAACUACGUG